GGAGUCAGGGCAUACAGGGGUAAUGGCUAAUUGUUCAUCAAAGUUAGCUCCAACAUGUCUGCCUGAAACUGCGUUCAGUUGUUCUGAAAGACACUCAGAGGAGUCUGCGGUUCAAUUUUUUUCCGAAGGAGGACCUCAUGUACAGAGCAGCCCGUUUGUUUCC